rnacentral:rRNA from 1 species
UACGUAGGGAGCAAGCGUUGUCCGGAAUCAUUGGGCGUAAAGCGCGCGUAGGUGGCCCCAUAAGUCCGCUGUGAAAGUCAAAGGCUCAACCUUUGAAAGCCGGUGGAUACUGUGGGACUAGAGUACGGAAGAGGCGAGUGGAAUUCCUGGUGUAGCGGUGAAAUGCGCAGAUAUCAGGAGGAACACCAAUUGCGAAGGCAGCUCGCUGGAACGUAACUGACGCUGAGACGCGAAAGCGUGGGGAGCAAACAGG